CGCGGAGCGGCUGGGCCCGUGAGCCAUGGCCGCUGAGCCUGCGCGUCCGGAGCCUGUGCUCCGCAGCGGGAGAGGCCACAGCAGUGGGAGGCCCGCGUACCGCAAAAAAAUAAAAACAGGACACUAACCACAGGUCAGCCCCACUGUACACUGCAUGCACCGUACCCACCUCGUGUUUGUUUGCGCCGUUAUAUUUCUAUAAGCAAUGCUCGUUCACCAAAUGGUCGCUACACACGUCUAAAACAGAGCUAAAUAUAAACUUAAUAUGUAUUAUUAUAAAACUAAAUGUGAAAACCAUGGUGGUGCAUAGAAAGGAAGCUGAGAUGAAAGUGAGCUGGCGAGGGGUGGGGGCACUUUUGGGUUAUUUCAGUGGAGCGGGGUUGAAAGUGCCAGGGAGGCCUGAAUGGUAACACGUGUGUCCCAAGCGUCCCGGCUUGCUCCCAGUGUAAGCGCUCACCUAGUGCUGACAGUUUGGAGCAUUUCUCCCUGCAGAGUUCCCUCUUGUUCCUUGGUCUUUGAUUUCCACAGAUCUUCAGAAGUUACACAUCAAUGUGAAGUCUUUGUAUAUAUUUGGAACUGAAUAAUCCGCUGUUGAAGUCGUCAGAUCCUGAUGUUUACGAUGUCUCUGCAGUUGGUUCCCUGGUUCUUGGGGGCGUACAUGACUUUUUUAUGGGGUGAGGACACUUUUUCCCCAAGGUUCUGGAAUUCAUGCUGCUCCCGCCUGGGGCUUCCAGAAGCCCCUGCAGUUACCUGAGCGUAUGUAGGUGCUGGACAGAAAUGCCCCCAGGGGUGAGCGGUUUGGGGCGAUGGGUGUGACCAGGAGCUAGGGGACCGGGCGCAGUGUCCCUCUGACACAGACUCCUCUACCUACGUCUCCCCUCACUCACUCUCCCCCCCUACAGUCUGCUUGCCCUAUAAUUAACACAGACACUGCUGCCUCUGUUUUCUUACAGGUAGCGUUAAUCAUUCACCAAGUAUGUAUUCAGGCACACACCAAAGUGCUCAGAGGUGGGAAAUGUCGUUAGUGCCUCCAGGCUAGAUUUUAUUAAGUGCUUUCAGUGUUCUGGGCACCGCUCUAAGCAUCUCUCAUGGGUGGUUCUGUUUAACCCUCAAAACUACCUAAUGAAGCAGGCACUCUUAUUAUCUCCUUUUAACAUGAGAAAAAUGAGACCCUGAGACACCAAAGAAAUUGAUGCAAGCUAGCAAGUGUUGGAGCCAGAAAUCGAAACCCAGCUGAGCCCACCAAUACGAUCCCACACAUGCUACCGGCCAAGCAGGUAGAAAGAGGAAGCUAAUGAUGACAAAACCCCCAGAGCAAGGGUGCGAGCUGACACCCACUGAGAAAUUUGGGGCGUUUGGGCAUGAGUGAGGUCAGAAGGCAGCAGCCUCUUUGGAGUGAUGGUAACAUCAAGCACGAGAGAAGCGCUGGCCCCCUCGGACUCCCAGGCAGUGACCUGAUAAGGAUGUGGCCCCCUGUGGAGACCAAGCCAGGCCAGGGACACAGGUGAGCAGUCAGUGAAGAGGAACCAUUCUCGGCUCUGCCCAUUGCAGGUUACUCUGAUUGUCUUCUAGUCCAGUCCACCCAAGGGCUCUGGGGCAGCCUCUUCAGGAGAACGUGAUAUCACCUGAAAGAAAGAGCAGGUUCAGUGACAGACCUGGUCCACCAGAAGCUUGAGGGAAACUGAGAGGAGAGCUUCGUUCUGCUUUGUGCCCCAAUGAUGGAGUGGAAGGCAGGUGGGGAGGUCUUUGCUCCAGGUAAUAGGAACAGCUGUCAGAGCUAAACAGAGGCGUGGUCCCAUCCAGUGGAAGAGGGGGAGUAUCAGGGUGAACCUCACGGAACUGCCAUUGAGGUAGGUCAAAAACAGAAGAGUAUUGACAAUUUCACUUGUUAAUUCUAAUUCAGCUCAGCCGCCAGCAGAGCAUCAGCUGUGGCUGAGAAGAGGGUAUAUUAACACAGUGGAUGGGUAAGUGCAGGGAGCGGGGAGAAGCCAGCGUGGGGGAGGGCAGAGGUCAGAGGUCAGAUAAGGCCUGAGAUAUUCAAGAGAGCCCUUGAGCCCAGAGAAAGGAGCUUGCUGUGGCCGAAACAUUUCCCUGCGCGGGAGCUGGAGGACAAGACCAGCGUCCUAUGAAUAUCGUCCGAAUCCUGUUCUGAGCUGACCUGACCUGGGGAUGAGCAUUACGCGACACACAGUAAGCUGGUAUUGCUCGUAAAACAUGUUUUAGAGGGUAAAGAAUAUAGGCUGCCUGAAGUCCUGUCGGUGUGUAGACGCUCCGUGAGAGGAAGCUGCUACCUGAAUGUUCUACCUCAGGAGGGCUGAGCUGGAGCCUGAGACUCUAACAAGCUCCAGGUGAUGUCCCGCUGCUGAUCCGUGGACCACACUUCGCGAAGUGAAGAUGUCUUUGCAGCUUGGUAUGGCCACAGGAUCAAAUUCUGGUCAAAGAGGUAGAAGUGGAAGUAUGACAUGGAACUUCCAGAAAGGAUUUCUUGAAAGGAAUCAAAUCAGUCCUUAGCAGGCUGUGUAGUGGUCAGAUCCGGCCUGAAUCCAUUCCGCACCCAAGGAGCUUGGGAGAGAUUUGCUUACCCCAAAGAUGCUCCCCUUCUGGAAUCUACUGGACUUUGCAAAUUUGUUUAUUAUCUUACUUAACAGAAGACAGCCAGACUCUCAUAUCUCAUACCUGCUUCUGCUUUGAAUCUGUUGCCAUGUGUUGUUUUGGUUGAACUGUAUGAAGAGAAUCUGGUCUCACACAGAUGUGUAGUUGGAAAAUACAGAAGUAUUUUAAAAACUUUUCAGGUACAAUGGUGGUGGCUCUUUGGUAAGUGAAUGGCUGUCUGCUGUGAACAGUUUUUCACGUGUGAAGGAGGAAUCUGGGUUGAGACAAAUCAUCCAAGGAAGAACCAUGUGGAAUCAGAUUCAUGGCUCUGUGCGCUGCUGUUACACUGACGUUGGUCAGUGUUUUACCCCAUGGGCAGAGGACUUUAGCAACAACAUGUAUGUGUGAAAAUUCUUUCACGUACACAGUGAAAGCUCUGUUCUCUCCCCCAGAGACUUUGUGUGUGUGUGUGUCUAUAUAGAAGUGUUACUCAUAUUACAUUGCCUUGUGUCCACAUAGAUGUAUGUAUACAUACCACAUUUGUUUCUGUGUCUUGUGUGUGUUUACCUGUUACAUGUAUAAGCAGCAGUGACAAUGAAAAUCAUUUAUCCUUGGACUCAAGAAGAUGAGGUUAACAUUAAAAGCACAUGGAGAGAGAUCAUUUCCUUUUCUUCCUGUAUUCUAAAAAUAAUUUUAUGAACAGGCAAUAUUAUGAACAUGAUAAAAAAAUUUAUUAAUUAGCAUGAAUUAAAGUGAAAAAUAGGUCUCCCAUCCUCUGCCCCAGACAUGAUUAUUACCAGUUUUUAAGUCUUCUUCAAGAGGUAUUCUAUAUAUUUAAAAAAGAGUAUGCACACACAUACCCCUUUAAAAAAAAAAAAUGUGUUCUUUUAAACUAAUGGAAGGUUAAAACAGGAAAAUCACAUAGCUUCAUUUCCAGCCCCUUGUGUGUAAGCACAGACUCCAGCACACAUAUUUGUGUCUAUGAUUUACACAUGUGUAGGUUUUGUGCUGGAGGAAAAAUUCUUUGUUAUAAGGAAACUUCUGGAACCUAGAAAACUUACUUCCUUCCCAGUUCAUCUGGUUAUUAAUCUUCCUAAAAGUGCAAGACAAAUAAAAUCCCCAUAUCUGAGAACUUUGUGGUAUCCCAGAGGCAGGAGAGAAUCAUUCCCAUGGAAUUGUCUUCACUUUCUGAUUUGUCAUCAGUUCUUAGGAGCAAUCCAGUAAGGGUUUAUUUAGUACAGCUCUCUGUUGAUUUUAUAACCAACUGCUGACUGCUUGGGACAUAAAACUCUUGAUGAUUUACAAGUAGUGAGUGGGAAAGAAAUCCAUAAAUCACAUUCAAUAAUAAGAAGGUGUAGGUGAACACACACACACACACACACACACACACACACACACACACACACACCUUCAAAGGAAGAGUUGUAGGCAUGACCAGAAAAUAUAUUCGUUUUUAAUAUGAAAAUUGAGAACUCAUUGGUAAGAGGCCCACAGUCAAUAACCUCAGAGAGUUUAAUAGUACCAGGUGGUAUUUUAAUGUAGAGCAAGAGGUUUUAUUUCUUAGAGAGAAGACGCUGGUUCCCACUUUUGAAAUGUUCAAAGGAGUUUUUAUGGUCUCUGGAGUAAAAACCUUUUUUUUUUUUUUCCUAAAAACUUUCACCAACCAAGCCAGGAAUACUGAUGGUUAUCAGUUUUCUGAUAUUAUUGAAACUCUUGAAACUAUUAUGCAACAAAUAUUUCUCAAACACUCAAAGAUUUUUUUAAUGUAAUUUUUUUCUAGGACUGUGCUUAGAAAAAUCUCUAAUAAUAUGCUAAAAGUAGAAAAAAAUAAGUUUCUAAUUCCAGGAGAGUCCUAGAGUUUCAGGGAACUGCCAGGGAAAUAUAAAGCAAAAAACCUUGAAAAACAUUUUUUUGGGGAAAGUGAAAUUUAAUAAAUAUGAUUCUGCUACCGUGAAUAGUUUGCGAACUCUCUGCCUCCAAAAUAUAGUAUAAUAUAGACAGAAAUUAAGGAUCCAUUUAUCCAAAAGCCAAUCUCAUUUGGAUCCUGAUUCAAACAAAACAAAGAAGUAAAAAAUUAAGCAGAAUAGAGAAAACUGAAGACAUUGAAUAAUGACGAAAUAUUUGAAGACAUUAAGGAGUUAUUAUAAAUUUGGGGGGUGUAAUAAUGGUGUUGUAUUUUUUGGAGUUUUUAUCUUUUAAAGAUACACAAUGAAAUGUUUUAGGAUGAAAUGACUUGAUGGUUUGGAUUUGCUUUUUAAAAAUCCAGGUGGGGGAUUGUGGGUGGGAGGAUAAAAGAUGUAAGAUUGGCCAUGAGUUGAGGGUGGGUAAUGGCUACAUAGGGUUUCAUAUACUAUUCUCUCUAAUCUUGUACUUGUUUGAAAUUUUACAUAAUGAGAAAAAAAAAAGAGCUAAGUUGAACUAGAGUGGUUGUUAGCUAUUUGAAAAGUUCUUCGUUUAUUCAUUUCACAUUUGUUAUUCACCAGGAACCAAGCAUCCGUAGAGGGCUUUGCGUGAGGCCCUUGGUGACUGUCAAGGGGUGUAAGCGGCAGUCUGCCGACAGUGCCUGCUUGUGACAGGUGGGGACACUACUGAGAGCUAGGCUGCCCGCCCCCUUCUCUCGGUUGGUAAGAAGGUGUCUAUCCCACGACCACUGUGAGGCACUUCCGUUUUGGGGGAGAAACACCAGCCCCCUGGGGGUGUGGACCUUCAGCUCAGCCCCACACCACUGACCCGAUAGUAAACAAGGCCAAAGACGAACCCCAGAGGGCCGAAGCUGAAAACAGCCACCCAAGGCCAGCUCAUCACAAACAAGUGUUUUGUUUUUACACUGUACACCCCACCCCCCCCAAAAAGUGGGGGGAGCACUUAAAGGGCUGUUUUGGAGCAGAGCCACUUGCUGCAUUUGAAACUUAGACCCGUGCCUGGUUCAGUGGAGCGAAAGGGAAAACGAUUGCCAUCCCUGCAGGGUACCUACCUCUCAGGGCCCUGCAGAGGGCGUGGCCAGACCCACACUGCAGGAGAGAUCAGCCCAAGAGGAGAAAGAAGUCUAAGAGCUUUGUGAAAGUUUCUUCCCUUUGGUGCCUGGGCCUCAUUACCCAGGCUUGGAGGGUCCGUUCCUGUCCUAUCAAGGUUGGCAGCGGUCAUCAGUGCCUCCAGACCAGAGGCCCAACCCAAACUGGCUCCCGAGAGAUGUGAACAUUUAGUUCUCAAGACACCCGUCCCCUUUGAUUAACAAGACCUUUUUGGCUUUGUUCUGAAUGAUGUGUAGAUUGCCAGAGCAUGCCCAGCCAUGGCACCCCGGUGAAGACUGAAGGUAGAGGAGAGGGAUGUCUCCUGGUGCUCCGGUCACUGACAUCUGGACUUUCCCAGCAAGCAUCAGGGCCAGUCCUGAAACGGGAGCAGAAAGCACAAAAUGCAUUACAGCCCACAGCACCGCUCUCAGAACCAAUGCCACCAUCCUGGCAACGGGCCACACGGAGAUCUGCAGUCUCCCACCACCUUCCUUACAGACCAAACACAGACAUAGACCGUGACUGCCACAGCUGGAAGGGGAGCAUCGCCAAGGCACACAUCCUACCUGUCAUUUCCACCGUCCACGGAGGAAAGAUGGCAAUCAGGAUGAAUGUCACCCCCACUGACAGCAGGAUGGGCCCAAGGAGCUGGGUCCAUUCAAAGUGGGAGGCUCCUUGGUGUUUGAUCCAGCCCAUGAUGGUGAACGUGAUCCCCACCAGUCCCAGGAAGAUGCCUGAGAAGAGCAAGGUGGCCCCCGCCUUGUCGUCAUCCGACACCUGGAUGUCAGCAGUACUGGGAAUCUCUAGUUGUGAUGACACUUAAACUUUCAUAGCAACUCUCACAAAGCUCUGAGGUCCUGCUCUUUCCUGGCCAGCUCCAAGUGCCUUUGCUUUCAGCAUUUGGGGAACAAUUCCAGCUGUGGGAGAGGAAAGACACCCUAGAGGCCUUUCCAUGCACCACGUCACUGGCAGAGCAUCAGGACAAGGCUGGUGAUCUUCAACUUCACUGCCAAACAGAAGGGAAAGCAAGCAGGUGACCCCCUCAGCUACAUCCACUUGCAAUUACGACAACUGGGAACACUGAAAGAGCAGGGGAGAGAGAGCACCUUCCUCUAAACAGCUCAUGAAUCCAAAACUGGAAUGGCUUUCAGAGCAGACUGGAGCAGAAAUCGUUAAGCCUGGAAUAGAGUCCAGAUGUGCCUCUGUAUGAAGUUUUGGUGAUAAAGUGUGUCACUUGGGGGAGCAUAAGGCACCCUCCACCCCACGUCCCACCCUGACCUCCCAGCCCUCACCAGCCAAGCCUGGCGAGAUCUUGCCCAGUUUGCUGAGGGGCCAGAAGGGUGAAGGCCUUGUGGAGCCAGAAGCCUGGGAGAGAGGAGAGGCCCUCUUUCCUCUGAGGGGAUCUCUGCUUUUGUCAGUCUUCUGGGUAGUUCUCCAUGGCGUUGAUGUAGAAGACAAGCCAGAGGCCACCCAGUGUGAAUCGCUGCUGCCCGAAAUGGAAUCUGGUCUCCAGGCGUCGGCAGGCAGUGACACGAGGGGCUGAUACCCACAGCUGCUCCCCACCUGCACCCUCUUCCCAGGCAACACAUGGUGCCCGGAGCCUCACUGCCACCAAGAGAGCGGCUCAGCCUGUGAGUCACUGAUCUGCUAAUAGCCUCCAAUAGCCACAGGAACUCUCCGGGCAGGACGCCAACCGGGUCCUCGGCCCGGGAAGGAGAAGCGAGAGCUUGCAGGUAUCUGCCCUCUUUGAGUUGGAUCUCCGGCCGAGGUCUUAAGCAGCUGCCUUCCUUUUCUGUGCCUGGUGAAGCAUGAGCCAGAGCCAGGGAACUCCUCUGCCUGCCUCCCCUAGGAAAAUGCCCACCAGCCUCAGGGAGAGAUGGAGAAACUGAGGCUCAUAAAGAUGAAUUAUUUGGCUCUGGGGUUUUAUUGCCACUCAAUGGCAGAAACCAGUUACAGUUUUAACUAGAAACGUUGAUCAUUGCUGGCCCAACUCAUAACCCCUCCUCAGAGAAGCUACCCCACACUGCUGAAAGACAGUGGCCCUGCUGGACACCAGAUGACCCAGGUCUCCUUCUCUUAAGGUGAACAUUUGAUCCAAGGGCAACCCUUCCCUAGAUAGAGGGAAGGGCGGCCAACCAUCAUGCUUUGCCUGGUCUGAAGGGGUUCCCAGGACACAAAACUUUCAGUGCUAAAACCAGAAAAUUCCUAGGCCAACUAGGACAAGUUGGUCAUCCUAGCAAGAAGGGACUUACGACCUGUGUAGCCAAGUUCAAAACAAUAGCAUGGGAAAUCAGAUUCUCAGUUAGAAACUGGGAAACUAAAAAUUGAUGCCAGUGGCUGAAAUAGAAGCGCCAUGACAUAGACAGAGGGCAAGGAGAGUUGAAGAGCUGCAUAUUGGUCACGUGUAAACAGAACUUAAGAGCAGAAACUGAGUAAGUAGAGGACACUGAUUAUAUUUGAGGAAAACUGACUUUCAGUAGCUUUUUCCUUAAAAACCACCGUGGCCAAUUUCAGAUCCUUGCAGAGUCUUUCCAGAUGCUUCUGUUUGCUGCUGCUUCUGCUUUCACUGCCAAGCAGAAGACUACAGCAGAUGACUCUUCUGUAUAAAAGCCAAUUCUCUCCAGACCACUGCUGCUUAUCUUCCACACUAAAAAGAGACAAGCAAAAUCCAGCACACUUAGAAAUUUCAACUUGGGAAACCCAAGUGACUUCCUGAUUCCUGCCUCAUAUCUUAUGGAGCUCACGAAGCUCUUAAUUAGCCAAAGCUGGCGCAACAGACUUUCUCCCAAAGAUAGCUACGAUAGCAUUUCCCAUUUCUCGUUCUCUUCUUACAUUGCUACUUGGACACUACUCUUAUGAAGAGAUGGCGUCUAUGUCCCCUGCCCUUGACACUGAUGGGCUUUUGUGACCAUCUCAUAGCGUACGGCGGAAGCAACACCAUGUGACCUCCAAGGCUAGGUCAUCAGACACAACUUCCACAUUGUUCAGUGGUGCUUUCGCUCUGGAAGCCUUUAGUCGCCAUGGGAGCUGUCUGAUUGCCCAGGGGCAGCAGUGCCGUGAGGAAGCCUAAGUUGUUCCACGUAGAGAAACCACACACAGAGGUCCUGAGACUACAUGAGGAGAGCGACCAAUGCCCGGUCAGCCCCCAGCUGCUUCAUCCCUUCUCUCUUCCAGCUCCACCUAGCAUGUAAUUACAACUACAUGAGACACCCUGAGCUGGAAGUGACAGGCCGACCCACUACUUCCUUUCUGACCCAGAGACCCAUAGUUUAUAAGAGAUAAUAAAGUGACUGUUGUUACUUUAAGCCCCUAAGUUUGGGGAUGAUUUGUUUACAGCAAUAGAUACCAGGAUCAGCUGACCUUGAAGAAGUAAUAAAACCUGUGGCCUGAUCUCUCCUCAGAACCGCACCUGCCACAGCAGGACCAGAAGAACCUAACUAAAUGCAGUAGGUAGCCCCAUACCAAGCUAGGAAUCUGACUCCACAUUUACAUGAACGACAGAUCAGGUAGUGGCCAAUCUUUUAGAAAUAAUUAUUCAUUUUACCAAAUGAUUCACAAUAACAUCCUUUGUAUGUGCAAGUAUUUCAAAUAAGUUAAAGACAACUUUCUUUACAAAAAUUGAUCUAGACUCAACUUUUUGGGAACAUGUCAGUAUGUGCUGAAUUCUCAUACAUGGCCCGCCACCAGCAGUUUAAAGCAGCUGUGUCUUCUAGGCACCAGACCCCAGGCAGCCAGCCCUGAUGCUGGCAGACACAUAAAGAGCAUACAGACAGGAGACAAAACACAGGACUGUAAGAACAGGCGAAGGAGCAGAGCCUCUUGGAGGAUGAAAUAGAGUGGGGUCGGUAGGGCUGCACAUUUUUCCUUUAACCAAGGAAAUUUCAAGUUUCAGCUGAGCACAUAAUCGUCUGGUUAGAGAAUACAUUCAGUUCCAUCUGCCUCCCAGCAGGUGUAGCCAUGUGACUAAUUUCUGGCUAAAGGAGGUGAGUGGAAGUGAUCUAUGCCAAGUUAGGAUCAUGCCCGUGAAAGAAACAGGCGAAGUUCUGGAGCUGGAUAGCGGUGAUGGUUGCACAAAAGUGUGAAUGUACUUAACGCCACUGAACUGUGCACUUAAAAAUGAUCAUUUCGGGCUUCCCUGGUGGCGCAGUG